AGAAUCAACGCUGGCGGCGUGCCUAACACAUGCAAGUCGCACGAGAAAGUGGAGCAAUCCAUGAGUAAAGUGGCGCACGGGUGAGUAACACGUGAAUUAUCUACCUCCGAGUGGGGAAUAACUGAGAGAAAUCUUAGCUAAUACCGCAUAACACUUACGAGUCAAAGCAGCAAUGCGCUUGGAGAGGAGUUCGCGGCCGAUUAGUUAGUUGGCGGGGUAAUGGCCCACCAAGACGAUGAUCGGUAUCCGGCCUGAGAGGGCGCACGGACACACUGGAACUGAAACACGGUCCAGACUCCUACGGGAGGCAGCAGUGGGGAAUUUUGCGCAAUGGGGGAAACCCUGACGCAGCAACGCCGCGUGGAGGAUGAAGCCCCUUGGGGUGUAAACUCCUUUCGAUCGGGAAGAUAAUGACGGUACCGAUAUAAGAAGCCCGGCUAACUUCGUGCCAGCAGCCGC
rnacentral:rRNA from 1 species